rnacentral:rRNA from 1 species
GUAGUAUAGCAGUGAAAGUUUUUUUUUUUUUUUUGGUGGAAAAAUGGGCUAACAAAAUAAAAAAUACAAAAAUGAUAUACUUGAUGAUAAUGAAAUAAUAAAAAUGUGAUAAGAACAACCCCACUUUGCAGAAGAACAUUAUUAUG